rnacentral:piRNA from 1 species
UAGAUAGACAGACAACUUGAUACUGUUUAUA